UGAAGGUCCGAGGGAAAAUUGAUGGAGCAUUCGACUCGGGUUAUUUAAUGACUGCAACUGUUAAUGGAAAGCUAUUAAGAGGAGUCUUGUUUGCACCACAGGGACUUGGAGAGGAAUGGGAAAAACGUGAAGGGCUUUUCAAAAGAGAAUCUAAAUGACCAUAUCUUGAACCAGAGAUUUCAGUUUCUCCAUAUUUGGAUCCUUAGAGAGUAUUUAGCAUAUGCUAUGGGAAUCCCAGAUGUUAAAGGAGAUUUGGAGCGCCUAAUUGAUGAUUUUGUUUUGAUGUGUUUGUUUGUGGGGAAUGACUUUCUACCUCACAUUCCCUCAUUGUAAAUAUCUGAGGUUGUCCACAGAAAAAGGGAAAGAAAGAAAGGAGUUAACUAGUAGCGUCUUCUGGAACUGAAUAAUAGACGUGGCCUAAAAUCUGUGAAAAAUAUCCCGUUUUCUUCUUCUUC